rnacentral:lncRNA from 1 species
GAGUAUUUCAGAUGCACAAAUUUUAUCUCUAUUCUCACAGCUUUAUCUAUUGCAUGCAGACUUUUAAGUUAAGACACUCAGCACCUCAAGCACUGGACCAUGGUUGUUAAGCUCAAGAAAGAGAAGGCAAGUCCCUAAGCUGAGAAAUACAGAGGUGAGAUCUGAAGCUCUGUGCUGACAGUCAUGGAAGCUACCCUACACAGGCACAAGGAUCCACACAACACCUUUACUGGGGAACAUCAAUUCAAGAAGGCAACAGAGAUGUUAAUUGUAAUAGAUCCACUGAUGUAAUUCUCAUAACUGAGUUGCUCUAUCUUGACCUACAUCAGCUGUGCAUGAGAACUGCAACUUUCUCUUUUUCACCAAGUAAUUGAAAGUAAAAUUGUAGAAACUUAAAAAGAGGUAUCAGGAAAAUUUUCUGGGACAAUGUUAAUGACUCUUCAUUUGAACAAAAAAGAUGAGCUGCGUUAUCUUACUAUGUGACCAAGCUGAUAUAAUGAAGCAAAUGGCUUUUAUUGCUCAACUACUGUUUGGCUCAGUGUAAGCAACAUAUUAAUAAACAA